UAGGGAAUCUUCCACAAUGGACGAAAGUCUGAUGGAGCAACGCCGCGUGAGUGAAGAAGGGUUUCGGCUCGUAAAGCUCUGUUGGUAGUGAAGAAAGAUAGAGGUAGUAACUGGCCUUUAUUUGACGGUAAUUACUUAGAAAGUCACGGCUAACUACGUGCC
rnacentral:rRNA from 1 species